UGGGGUGGCACUUGGGGUGGCAAGGGAAGAUUUUAGGGUGGCACGCCACCCCAUGCCACCCUUCUAGAUCCGCCCCUGCUUCUUCCAGGAGAAUAACAUCACUCUUUUGGACUAUCCUGCGUCUUCCCCUGAUCUAAAUCCAACUGAGAAUGGACAACAGUUCCAGACAGUAGACGCCCUUCAUGUGGCCAUCUUCACCACUUGGAGAAAUGUUCCCACUCACCUCAUGGAAACGCUUGCAUGAAGUGAUCAACAAUAACAGCAAACCUAUUCAUUACUGAGUUCAAGUUUGGAACUUUGAUUUCUGUUUUGGGGGUUUACCCAUGUUUUUUGGAGGUGUGGUCCUAAAUGUAGCCCAGUGGCAAACAGAUGCAAUUAGACUGUUUAUUGUAAUUAUUAUUAAAGAUGUUUUAUUCUGUUCAGUUAAAAACACUCAAAUUGGAGAGAGACUCUAAAGGAAAAAUCCAAAUUAUUUUGUAUGGAAUUGCAUUAUUUGUGUUAUUUAUUUAUUUUUGUUUCUUAAAGGUUAUUUUUUGACCUGGAUACAAAUGCAGUCCAACCAAUGGGAUUGUUUGUCCCGCCUUGUGUUUUCAUGUUUGGUUGCGCUGCUAAGACUGCUUAGACCACACGCGCCAUAGCUGUACCUGUGGGGAAAACGUGGUAGCUGUUGGUAUCUGCUUGCUUAGCCGCCAGAUUUGGAUAGCCGAAGCUAAUUUUAUGAAUACGAAGUGCUUUGCACUGGUCAGGUUUUUUGAGUUGGAGAAAGGAGCCGAGACUCCCCGGAGAACUUUGGAUUACAGACUUUGUGGAAAUCCGCAGAAGAGGAAUAAUUUUCCAUUGCAAUGGAUGGCGAGCCACAGCCCAUUUGGAAUUGAAUCUUGAAGUCUGGUUGCCUGAACUGUGGUAGGACAAGACUGUGCAAACCAUACACCGAUCGUGGAUUGAACUCACACCAAUAACUCACCAGAUCACCAAACAGGCCUGAUCUGGAUCCUAUUGACACUUUAAAAGACCCGGGUCUAACAUUCGUUUCUUUUUUAUUUUGGGUAUCUGUGCGCGCACACAAUAUUUUGGGUAUUAUUGUCAAAUGCAAUACAGUGCAUAACUUUGAAAUACAGUUAACCCAUUGCGUCA